AACUGCAUUAUGAAUUUCCUUUGCAUGCUCUGGCUUAGCAAAAAGGUCUCUCCUAGAGCUCCCGAGACUCCAUCCCCUUGGAUAUUCCACUGUCCCCCGUGCUAUUGGAAAAUGCCAUUACAAAAUGGCACCAUUUUGAAUAAUUUUAUUUGUCAGGUGCAUUUCAGCUGGAGAAUGGUGAUGGCUUGAGAGACCACGGAGAUUUUUCCCUGGGAGCUGAGAUUCAGUGUGGUGUUUGAACAGAUCAGGUGUCUACGGCAAACCAGGUGAGACACCAGCUCCAAGUUGGCAAGGACCUUUCCAGGGAACACUGCCCGUCCCCCUGAGCGUGGAGGAGCCAACAGUCCCAAGGAGCACGUGUUGCACAGGCAGGAACAAACUCGUAUGGACUUGAAAACGCCUUCGUGGCCUUUGCAGCGCAACAAAAACACGUUGCUUUGGCACCAGGUAACUCCCAAGAGCUGCAGGUUGACCCCGCUGUGGGAUGUGCUCGGGGAUGAGCCAGGAGCUGCUCCAAGGACUCAAGGGACUCGUCGAGACCCAGCUCCAGCCCCAGCCUGUGGUCCUUCCACAGGUUUCUGCUCUCUCUGCUGUCAAGCCAAGUGACCACAUCACUUCUCCAACUGGUGCCGGACUAAUUUUGGCCUGACAGUGGAGGUGAAAAAUGAGUUGUCUCUUCUCUGCACAGCUGCACUCUGAUCUCGUUAUGAUUUCAUCUGUAUUUCUAGAAAUUUAGACGUUUCCUGAAAUAUCCCACUAUGCAAUGUCUUUGUGGCUCUUCAGCAUCCCCACCGGUUCCUACCACUCAACCUGUUUGUUAAAAUUGGCCAAACAUUACAUAAAGGCUAAGACAGUUUUCAUCGGCUGCAAUUUGGUCAUUUUGGUGUUGUGUUAAGUGAGUUCAGCUAAAGGGUGUUUUAACGACCACAAACUAAACUAACCUUCCAAGAAAGGUCCGUGGGCAAGGGUGGGAAGUUGCAAGAACCAUGAGGUAGCUGCUAGGAGAAUGCAGACAGAUGUCAGAGACAUUUCUCUAUUUGUAAACAAACAAACAGCCUGACACCCAAAUCAGGCCAGUCUGGUGGAAAAUAUCAAAGUCAUGACCUCCAUCAAAUGAAAGAAAACAGAUUACACAGCUGUGGUACUCACUGUUUUCCGUAUCUUUGGGUAGGUCGUGCUGGUUUUACGAGGUUCUCCAGGGGAGCUGAACUGAAGUGACUACUUUGGGUUCCAGUGAGGGUUGUUUUUUUUUUUUUUAUUUCAGCAUCACCAUCUGAAAAGGGUGGUUUUGUUUUCUUUCUGGUAAUCUUCUCUGGUUUUAUGUCCGCUCCAUAAUUUCCCUUCUUUUUGUUUUUUGUUUUGUUUUGGGUUUUUUUUACUUCUCCCUGUUCUCUUCCUUUCCUUUCUCUAUUUUACCAUUUCCAUUUACUUUUCCCCUCUUCAGCUCUAAAUCCCUUAGAGCUCUACAUUUGCACUCCUUAAAACUAAGUCCUUAACCCACCACUGCUAUUUGCACACACAUUUGUUCAAGCAGUUGAGCUUAAUAUGCCACUUCUCAUUCACUGAAUCCUAUUCCCCAGCUGCAAACAGGCCCGUAGCCUAUUGCAAAUAUAUAUAAAAAAAAAAUAGAUAUUUUGCGCUAGCCUUUCAUGUGGCUGAAUUAAUUUAUUAGAUAAGAUAACUUGACCAGCUGCAAUUCCUAGCCUUACCUUUAGCUCUGCUGAGGAACAGUCCCAUUGUGCUACGGCCCCAUCGCUAUCAGCCAGGCACAGACUGUAAGUGCCACAGCAUUGGAGAAAUAAACAGUUAUGAGGAUGCA
rnacentral:lncRNA from 1 species